GAAAAACAUGUAUUGUUAAAAGGUAUAUCGAUAAAGCAUUCGAUCCCUUUUAUAGACAAACAAUAGGAGCAUGUUUUCUUUGGUGCAAAAUAGAUGUUGGGGAUAUUAAAAUCACAUUACAAAUUUGGGAUACAGCAGGCGAAGAAAGAUUCAAAUCAAUAAUGCCAAUGUAUCAUCGAGCUGCAAACGCAGUUUUAUUGAUCUUUGAUUUGACCAAAUAUGCGACUUUCACACACAUAAAAUCAGUCCUUCACGAAUUUAGACAGCACUCUAAUGAAAAUGUAGUUUUAGCUCUCAUUGGGAAUAAAAUCGACUUAAUCGAUCAAAGAGAAGUUUCAGAAGAUGAAGCACAAAAAUAUGCUGAAUUAAUUGGAGCUUCAUAUCACGAAACUUCAGCCUUGCAGGAUAUAGGGAUCGACGAAGUUUUUCAAACCGCGGCUGCUGGUUUAGUUCGAUUAAUAAAUGAAGGGAGAAGUACAAACAUGAAAGUCUAUGACUGCUCACGACCUGUUGAUAAAAGUCGUGACCAGGUGCUGAAGUUGUUAAAUGAACAAAAUCGCAACAAAAUCCAGAAAAGAGUGAAGUGCUCUUGUAAAUAGCUGUAUUUGCACAAUUUUCUUUUUUUCUAAUUUGUAUAUUUUACCCAAAUUUCAUGCUCAUUGUGAUUGAAAAAUGUUAUCAUUCGACUUAGGAACUGCUAGUAUUUUGUCAUUAAAAAUCAUAUGAAAUAGAAAACACUAUUUCAAAAGAAUAAGAUAAACAGUUUGAAAUAUUUUAAAUAACUUUCCAUUUUAAUUAUAUCUAGAGAGGCACAUAAUUGGUUAAAAUUACUGAAAAUAUAUUUCCAAUCUAGCGGUUUCGUACGAUAACAGUAAAAGAAAUUAGUAUUUUUUUGCAGCAAGUAUCGUAAAUGAUACUUGUACACUAAAAUGUUUUGUAUUCUAGGAUAUUGAUUGGUAUUUCUUAAUAUAGGAAACAAAUGUAACAACAGGAGCAAAAUUUACGAAGGGCCUAAGAUUCUGUGUAAUCCGGAUUUCAAAGUGUACAGUCCAAAACGAAAAAUUGGGCAGCAGAAAGUCGACUUAUUUUCUCACAAUGAGCUGAAUUUACAGUCUCUGAGUAGUUAACACAGUACCUAUUAUCAUUAAAAAAAGCUCGUUCAGGGCUAACGUUACAGAAAAUUCCGUAAUACUAGCCGUAAUGCUUUACUUGACCGGUUACUUUUACGGAAAAUCCCGUGAUACUUAAUUAUUGAUUAAUUAAACGACACGUAUUUUAUCAGAUUAAAAGUAAGUUUUUCACGAACUUAUUAUUUCUUAAAUCCUAAAUCUGUUAAUUAGUAUGGAAAAAUUGCAAUAUUAUUUUUGAUUGUAUUGUUAAGAGAGAAAAGAUUAUUUUUUAUGAAA